rnacentral:rRNA from 1 species
UGGGGAAUUUUGGACAAUGGGGGCAACCCUGAUCCAGCCAUGCCGCGUGUGUGAAGAAGGCCUUCGGGUUGUAAAGCACUUUCGGACGGAACGAAAUCGCGCGAUCUAAUAAGUCGCGUGGAUGACGGUACCGUAAGAAGAAGCACCGGCUAACUACGUGCCAGCAGCCGCGGUAAUACGUAGGGUGCGAGCGUUAAUCGGAAUUACUGGGCGUAAAGUGUGCGCAGGUGGCUGAGCAAGUCGAGUGUGAAAUCCCCGGGCUUAACUUGGGAAUUGCGCUCGAAACUACUUGGCUCGAGUGUGGCAGAGGAAGGUGGAAUUCCAGGUGUAGCGGUGAAAUGCGUAGAGAUCUGGAGGAACACCGAUGGCGAAGGCAGCCUUCUGGGCCAACACUGACGCUCAUGCACGAAAGCGUGGGGAGCAAACAGGAUUAGAUACCCUGGUAGUCCACGCCCUAAACGAUGAUGACUAGUUGUUGGGGGAGUUAAAUCCCUUAGUAACGCAGCUAACGCGUGAAGUCAUCCGCCUGGGGAGUACGGUCGCAAGAUUAA